GGCCGGUUGGCCCAAUGGCAAGGCGUCUGACUACGAUACACCGUGGCAUCAGGAGAUUGUGGGUUCGACCCCCAUGCUGGUCA
rfam:Colletotrichum orchidophilum strain IMI 309357 Scaffold_9.1, whole genome shotgun sequence.